ACGCACGCUGGCGGCGUGCUUAACCCAUGCAAGUCGAACGAAGAGCGAUGGAAGCUUGCUUCUAUCAAUCUUCGUGGCGAACGGGUGAGUAACGCGUAAUCAACCUGCCCUUCAGAGGGGGACAACAGUUGGAAACGACUGCUAAUACCGCAUACGAUCUAAUCUCGGCAUCGAGGAUAGAUGAAAGGUGGCCUCUACAUGUAAGCUAUCACUGAAGGAGGGGAUUGCGUCUGAUUAGCUAGUUGGAGGGGUAACGGCCCACCAAGGCGAUGAUCAGUAGACGGUCUGAGAGGAUGAACGGCCACAUUGGGACGGAGACACGGCCCAGACUCCUACGGGAGGCAGCAGUGGGGAAUCUUCCGCAAUGGACGAAAGGCUGACGGAGCAACGCCGCGUGAGUGAUGACGGCCUUCGGGUUGUAAAGCUCUGUUAAUCGGGACGAAAGGCCUUCUUGCGAAUAGUGAGAAGGAUUGACGGUACCGGAAUAGAAAGCCACGGCUAACUACGUG
rnacentral:rRNA from 1 species